CACACGACUCUCGGCAACGGAUAUCUCGGCUCUCGCAUCGAUGAAGAACGUAGCGAAAUGCGAUACCUGGUGUGAAUUGCAGAAUCCCGCGAACCAUCGAGUCUUUGAACGCAAGUUGCGCCCGAGGUCACUUGGCCGAGGGCACGCCUGCCUGGGCGUCACGC
rnacentral:rRNA from 1 species